AAAGUACUCCCUCCGUCCCAAAAUUCUUGUCUUAGAUAUGUCUAGAUACGGAUGUAUCAAGUCACAUUUUAGUAUUAGAUACAUCCGUAUCUAGACAAAUCUAAGAAAAGAAUUUUGGGACGGGGGGAGUAGAUG
rnacentral:pre_miRNA from 1 species